GAUGUUGGGUUAAGUCCCGCAACGAGCGCAACCCUCGUCCUAUGUUGCCAGCACGUCAUGGUGGGGACUCAUAGGAGACUGCCGGGGUCAACUCGGAGGAAGGUGGGGAUGACGUCAAGUCAUCAUGCCCCUUAAGUCCAGGGCUUCACGCAUGCUACAAUGGCCGGUACAAAGGGCUGCGAUACCGCAAGGUGGAGCGAAUCCCAAAAAGCCGGUCUCAGUUCGGAUUGGGGUCUGCAACUCGACCCCAUGAAGUCGGAGUCGCUAGUAAUCGCAGAUCAGCAACGCUGCGGUGAAUACGUUCCCGGGCCUUGUACACACCGCCCGUCAAGUCAUGAAAGUUGGU
rnacentral:rRNA from 1 species